AAAAAAAAAAAAAAAAAAAAAAAAAAAAAAAUUACGUAUUUUGUUUCGUUAGGAGGGGGGAGGAUAAAUAUCUUACAAUGGGAGUUUCGUAAAAUACCCCCAACCUAAGAACAGGGGACUUUGUUCUGUCCUAUUACAACAGCAACAGUAAGGUAUGGCUCAAGUGAACAAAUCAUUAAUAUUAUUCAUACCUUUCGCACAUCGCUGCCAAAGUAGACGUACCUUUGGAUAGUCUUUCUUUACAA